GUGUGUGUGUGUGUGUGUGUGUGUGUGUGUGAUGCUGGUAACUGUCUCCUCUCGGCCAUCUGUACCUGCCGCUUCGCUACGCAGUGAUGUCAUCAGGGACCAACAGUCGGGCGCUAAUUAAGUCACAGGUUACUCAAAUCCAACCGACAAGCCCCCCCUCCCCCCCCGCCCCCCCAUUAAGAUGUUAUGCCUUUCAACUUACACAUUUCACGUUACAGGAUUUCUUUGAUAAGCUUUUCAACUUGAAGUUUUUUUUUUCUUUGUGUUAAUAUAAUAAUGACAUUUCUGACGCUUUUAUCCAAAGCGACUUUCAAUAAGAACAUUUCAACCAUAAGGACACAAACUCAGAAGAACAAGAAAGUGCAUUUUCCUCAAAUAAGCCGAUGUACAAUUUGCUGUAGAUAAGAACCAAUAUAAGUCCAAUGUAAGUGCUACAGUUAGUGUGUUAGUGGAGGUAGAGUCUGAAGAGGUGUGUCUUUAGUCUGAAGAUGUGAAGGCUCUCUGUGGUCCUGAUGUCUUCAGAGACCUCCUUCCACCAUUUAGGAGCAGGACAGCAAAGAGUGGAGAUCUAGUCGAGUGUUUUGCUCUCAGUGAGGAGGAACAAGCAGUUUAUCACAUGCAGAGCGGAGAGGUCAGAGGUCGGGAUGUCGGGUUGGACCAGGUCCUGGAUGGGAGCUGGACCCCAUCCAUUCACAGCACGGUACGUGAGCACCAUGUUUAGAACUGGCUGAGCCACCGGUACCAGUGAUAUAGGAAGGAAGGAAAGCUUCUGAGAAGUAGUGGAGUAGAAGUAUAAAGUGGCAGAAAAAGAAGAUACUCAGGAAAUUACCAUUUUUUUCAUUGGUUAUUGAGGAUCAGGAAUCAUCAGAUCAUCAGAUUUGUUUGAGAAGUGAGAACACGACGUAAAUACAAGUGUCUUUGUACUCUGUUUGUUAACGGAUGGUUUUACAUAGUUUUGCUAAACUUGGCCUCCAUUUACUUCCAUCCAUGUGGACUUUUCUCUCUUUGUGGAUACAAACAGUUCCUGAUGUUACCGGUUUAUAAACAGAUGGUCCAGCGUUCCCUUAAGUACAGUAUUUGAGAAGAUGUACAUUCCAGCUGUUCUCUUGGUUCUGCUCCUCCAUUAUUAUUAUUAUUAUUAUUAUACUUUUAACAGCGUUUUCAGGACGUGCUUAAGAAUCACGUUAACACAUCAGCAAACUGCGUCUCUUGUGAGUCUACAGACGUUUUUUUCAUCACUAAAAGCCACAAGCUGACUUUCUGCACCGAGGAAAAGACGAAAAACACAAGCAUUGACCAUCAGGAGAGCAGGUGAGCUGGAGGUUGUUGUUUAGUACAAAGCUCCAUGCAAACAAGUCAAAUCCUUUAAAACAAACUUGGGUUUGUGCAACCAAACUGAUUCUUUAUGUGAGGCGAUGAAACUGCUCAUUGAGGUGAAGUUCUGUUUCUGUUACAGCAGCAAACAGACGUCUUUGUGUUUGUGGCGGGAAGCGUUUACUACUUGGUUGUUUGUUGUGUUGCGUGCAGCGGCUUCAGUAACGUAACCCAGCGAACAAGCUGGACGGAGCCUUCAGUCCGCGGGUCUCGUGUGCGACUCGUUGUGCGACGAUGCUGUUCAGUCUGAGAGGUUGAAGCCGCAGCAAAAAAAAACAAAAGAAGUUGUUGGUUCUAAUUGGUCCUAAAUAUGACAGCGAGCGUGACAGCAUGUGUGUUUUAGCAUAAGUGUGUGUGUUCGUACCUCUGAGUGUGCUUGUGAGUUCCAGACAUUUGUGGAAUCACGUGUGAUUCAUUUGCAGUUUACUCUCUCGCUGUGAGAACCGGAGGCGCCGGCUUCACUUCCACUCGCCAUAUUUCACGGCGAAGUGGAGCCAAACCCGCCCGGACGCACAAGGCGGCCAUUGUUUUCACAGCCCUGGUGUUGUUGUUGUUGUUGUUGUUGUCGUCUGAUGAUAAGUUAUUUGCGGGACGGCUCGUGUUCGAUGGGACAUAUGCUGCUGAGCGCCGUCUGGGUUUCCGGCCGCUAGCCCGCUGCAGAGAGGAGGAGGUCAGAGGUCACCGAGCAGUUCUGCGCCACCUGACUUAGUGGUCACCUGUUGCACGUGUCGUUUAGCUGAAACUUUCUUUAUCCAAAAGCAACUUACAAUAAGCACAUUCAACCGAGAGGAGGCAAAAACAUAGAAGCUAAUGGUGCAAAAAAACAGACGCCCAAAUCAGCUCAACCGGCGGCGAGCUCCGCCCCUCGUUCCCCUCCUGAGGAAAGGCAUUUUGAGCCGCUUGACCCCGUGACCUUGUUCCCUCGCGACCACAGGGGAGGGAAGCAGCGGUGGAUCGAGAGCUGCAACGUGGGGCUCAUCUUCCCCUCACUCGCAGACGAGACCCUCAAGUACUUGACCUCCUUCACUUGAGGAAAGGUAAGGAGGUAAGGAGGUAAGGACGCGUCCCGAGUGGGCGGGUUCAUGGCUUUACUGCUUAUGUGAUGAACACAUGAUGCAAACUCAAUAUCUCAAAGAAUGUCUAAAUAACGGGUACUUUUAUCACGUAUUACUUGUUAUGAUGCUAAUAUUGAUGUAUUUGUAAUUGUACAGUCCCCAAUAAUAAACCCAAUAAUAAACCCUGCUUUUUAAUUUGAUCUUAAAUGUUCCUUUAACGACGAGCUGGGCGUUUUUUUUGGGCCCUCGGAGUCGUCGGGAUGCCAAAGCCGGACGUGUAGUUGGCCGCCACGUCCGCCGCUAAUGAGUCUCCAUAUCACCUAAUUGUCCGACAAACUGUUCCUUUAAUAUCCGCCAGUGUGUGUGUGUGUGUGUGUGUGAGAAAAGUGUGUGUGUGUGUGAGAGUGUUUCUUUAAUUUAUGCAGGAAUAAGACGCCGUCUGCUGAGCUGCUUCAUCUCUCCACAAUAACUCACAUCUUUCCUCCUCCUCUUCUUUCAUUCGUUUCAACCUUCUGUUCUCCUCCUCCUCACAUACCCCCCUC
ensembl:lncRNA